UACGUAGGGGGGCAAGCGUUUGUCCGGAUUUAUUGGGCGUAAAGAGCGUGUAGGCGGCCAGACAGGUCCGUUGUGAAAACUCGAGGCUCAACCUCGAGACGCCGAUGGAAACCGUCUGGCUAGAGUCCGGAAGAGGAGAGUGGAAUUCCCGGUGUAGCGGUGAAAUGCGCAGAUAUCAGGAGGAACACCAGUGGCGAAGGCGAGUCCCUGGACAACACCUGACACUGAGGCAACGAAAGCUAGGGGAGCAAACAGG
rnacentral:rRNA from 1 species